rnacentral:rRNA from 1 species
AGCGAACGCUGGCGGCAGGCCUAACACAUGCAAGUCGAACGAACUCUUCUGAGUUAUUGGCGGACGGCUGGGUAACACGUGGGAACGUGCCUUUUUUUUCGGAAUAACUCAGGGAAACUUGUGCUAAUACCGAAUGUGCCCUUCGGGGGAAAGAUUUAUCGCCAUUAGAGCGGCCCGCGUCUGAUUACCUAGUUGGUGAGGUAACGGCUCACCAAGGCGACGAUCAGUAGCUGGUCUGAGAGGAUGACCAGCCACACUGGGACUGAGACACGUCCCAGACUCCUACGGGAGGCAGCAGUGGGGAAUCUGGCGCAAGGGGCGAAAGCCUGACGCAGCCAUGCCGCGUGAAUGAUGAAGGUCUUAGGAUUGUAAAAUUCUUUCACCGGGGACGAUAAUGACGGUACCCGGAGAAGAAGCCCCGGCUAACUUCGUG